UACGGGGGGGGCAAGCGUUGUUCGGAAUUACUGGGCGUAAAGGGCUCGUAGGCGGCCAACUAAGUCAGACGUGAAAUCCCUCGGCUUAACCGGGGAACUGCAUCUGAUACUGGAUGGCUUGAGAUUGGGAGAGGGAUGCGGAAUUCCAGGUGUAGCGGUGAAAUGCGUUGAUAUCAGAAGGAACGCCGGUGGCGAAAGCGGCGGACUGGACCUUCACUGACGCUGAGGCGCGAAAGCUAGGGGAGCAAACGGG
rnacentral:rRNA from 1 species